rnacentral:rRNA from 1 species
AGGAGCUUGCUCCCUUGGGUGACGAGUGGCGGACGGGUGAGUAAUGUCUGGGAAACUGCCCGAUGGAGGGGGAUAACUACUGGAAACGGUAGCUAAUACCGCAUAACGUCGCAAGACCAAAGAGGGGGACCUUCGGGCCUCUUGCCAUCGGAUGUGCCCAGAUGGGAUUAGCUAGUAGGUGGGGUAACGGCUCACCUAGGCGACGAUCCCUAGCUGGUCUGAGAGGAUGACCAGCCACACUGGAACUGAGACACGGUCCAGACUCCUACGGGAGGCAGCAGUGGGGAAUAUUGCACAAUGGGCGCAAGCCUGAUGCAGCCAUGCCGCGUGUAUGAAGAAGGCCUUCGGGUUGUAAAGUACUUUCAGCGAGGAGGAAGGCGUUGUGGUUAAUAACCGCAACGAUUGACGUUACUCGCAGAAGAAGCACCGGCUAACUCCGUGCCAGCAGCCGCGGUAAUACGGAGGGUGCAAGCGUUAAUCGGAAUUACUGGGCGUAAAGCGCACGCAGGCGGUCUGUCAAGUCGGAUGUGAAAUCCCCGGGCUCAACCUGGGAACUGCAUCCGAAACUGGCAGGCUAGAGUCUUGUAGAGGGGGGUAGAAUUCCAGGUGUACCGGUGAAAUGCGUAGAGAUCUGGAGGAAUACCGGUGGCGAAGGCGGCCCCCUGGACAAAGACUGACGCUC